CGUAGUUGAAUUUCUGGUGGGCGCGCCGGUCUUCUUUUGUUGUACUGGGCGCAGUCCGCCAUCCUUGUGGAGAGGGCUCGCAUUGAGUUGCGGGUCGGAUCUGCAUCAUUUACUGUGAAAAAAUUAGAGUGUUUAAAGCAGGCUGUCGCUUGAAUACAUUAGCAUGGAAUAAUAAGAUAGGACUUCGGUCUAUUUUGUUGGUUGCGAACCGAGGUAAUGA
rnacentral:rRNA from 1 species